AUGGCUGUAAUGGCCGGAGCUGAGCCAACCCAAAGUCAGGAGCCAGGAGCUCCUUCCAGGUCUCCCACGUGGGUGCAGGGGCCCAAGGACUUGGGCUAUGUUCUACUGCUUUCCCAGGCCAUAGCAGAGCGCUGGAUCGAAAGUGGAGCAGCCCGGACUAGAGCUGGGGCCCAUAUGGGUUGUCAGUGCUUCAGGCCAGGACUUUAUCCUACUGCACCACAGCACUGGCCCCAUUAUCUACAACUUUUUGUGAGAUAUGUUUUCCCAGUGCCUAUCUUCAGCUACUCCAACUCCUUCACUUUUUUUUUUAAAAAGACUUAUUUUAUUUAUUUGAAAGCAGAGUUACAGAAAGAGAGAGAAAGGGAGAGACACAGAGAGAGGAAGAUCUUCCAACCACUGGUUUACUCCCCAGAUGGCCAGAGCUGCGCCAAUCUGAAGCCAGGAGCCAGGAGCUUCUUCUGGGUCUGCCAUGUGGGUGCAGGGGCCCAGGGACUUAGGCUAUCCUCCGCUGCUUUCCCAGGUGGAUUAGGAGGUGGUGGCUUAACCCAUGAAGCUAUAAUGCUGGCCCUCAUUUUUUUAAAUAUUUAUUUAUUUAUUUUGAAAGUCACAGUUACAGAGAGAGGGAGAGGGAGGGACAGGGGAAGGAGGGAGAGACAGAGAUCAUCCAUCCACUGGUUCACUCCCCAGAUGGCCACGAAUGGGCAGCCCUGGGCCAGGCCAAAACCAGGAGCCAAGAACUUCAUCCGGAUCUCCCAUGUGAGUGGUAGAGGCCUAAAUACUUCGACCAUCUUUUCCCAGGCCAUUAGCAGGGAGCUGGAUGUAAAGUGGAGCAGCCAGGACAUGACCUGUGGCCAAUUUGGGAGGCCAACACUGCAGGCAGCAAUGUUACCUGCUAUCCCACAAUGCUGGCCUCUUCAGCUCCUUUGUUUUCAAAUCUGCUCCCUUCCAACAUCAGUUUCCAGAAUUCUCCAUCAUUUCUCAGGCCAAUUAACUUCCUGCUUCCCUUGUUUCUCCAGUCAGUUCAUUGCCCUCCCAUAG
rnacentral:lncRNA from 1 species